CGGAGAAACGAAACUUAAUGUUAAAAGAGCCAAAUGGGCGGAACGACAAUAUAAACACAGAUGAUGCGCACAGUAAUAUGAAACACCUGAUUGUGAUGAGUCAGUCAGUGAACCGGUCAGAAAUAUUGACUUCAUGUUUGUCUUUAAGCGACGGUUGGAGAAGGUGGUGAACAGCAUCAUUUGAAAAAAUACCCCAAAGUCCUGUUGGGAGGUUUGCUGUAGCGGUGUGUCACACCAGCACAGAGGACGGAAGCCAACCAAGAAGAAUUGCAUUUAUACAGUACACCAAAGGCUCCUGAUCAGACAGUAUGCAAAAACAGUUGUGACCAGUGGGUGGACUAUGUAUGUAGAAGCCAUGGUGGAUAUCAAUAUCAAGUUCACUCGUGAGGAUGCCAAAGAUGACUGUCUGGCCUUUUUGGACUGUUCGGUCCACAUAGGAGGAGACAGAAGCCUUAAGGUGGAAGUAUAUCAGAAACUUGCACACACGGACCAGUACCUUCUUUUUGACUCACACCAUCCACUACAACACAAAUUAGAGUUAUCAGAACCCUAGAUCACAGGGACAAGGAAGUGCCCACCACUGCAGAAGGGAUCAAGAAGGAGAAUCUACACAUCCAGAACUCCCUUAAGGUUUGUGGAUACCCUAAGUGGGCCUUCACCAAAGCAAGGAAGAGGCUCAGCACCAACAGGGAUAAACUAGGAACAAGAGGGGAUAACAAUGCCAUAUCCCUUAUGUGGCUGGUUUAUCAGAGAAGCUGUUAGG